rnacentral:rRNA from 1 species
AUAUCAAUAAGCGGAGGAAAAGAAACCAACAGGGAUUACCUCAGUAACGGCGAGUGAAGCGGUAACAGCUCAAAUUUGAAAUCUGGCUCUUUCAGAGUCCGAGUUGUAAUUUGUAGAAGAUGCUUUGGGUGUGGCUCCGGUCUAAGUUCCUUGGAACAGGACGUCAUAGAGGGUGAGAAUCCCGUAUGUGACUGGCUGCCUUCGCCUAUGUAAAGCUCUUUCGACGAGUCGAGUUGUUUGGGAAUGCAGCUCUAAAUGGGAGGUAUAUUUCUUCUAAAGCUAAAUAUUGGCCAGAGACCGAUAGCGCACAAGUAGAGUGAUCGAAAGAUGAAAAGCACUUUGGAAAGAGAGUUAAACAGUACGUGAAAUUGUUGAAAGGGAAGCGCUUGCAACCAGACUUGCCUGCCGUCGAUCAUCCUGGGUUCUCCCUGGUGCACUCGGCGGUGGUCAGGCCAGCAUCGGUUUCGGUGGUGGGAUAAAGGCCUUGGGAAUGUGACUCCUCUCGGGGAGUGUUAUAGCCCUCGGUGCAAUGCCGCCUACCGGGACCGAGGACCGCGCUUCGGCUAGGAUGCUGGCGUAAUGGUUGUAAGCGACCCGUCUUGAAACACGGACCAAGGAGUCUAACAUCUAUGCGAGUGUUUGGGUGUUAAACCCAUACGCGUAAUUAACGUGAACGGAGGUGAGAACCCUUUAGGGUGCAUCAUCGACCGAUCCUGAUGUCUUCGGAUGGAUUUGAGUAAGAGCAUAGCUGUUGGGACCCGAAAGAUGGUGAACUAUGCCUAAAUAGGGUGAAGCCAGAGGAAACUCUGGUGGAGGCUCGCAGCGGUUCUGACGUGCAAAUCGAUCGUCAAAUUUGGGUAUAGGGGCGAAAGACUAAUCGAACCAUCUAGUAGCUGGUUCCUGC